GGCGUCCGAAUACUUUUAGUUUUCGCACUCUAACUUAAGUAAAAGUGAAUAGAAAUCUAUGAAAUUUUAACACAAGGUUUAUGACCAUAAAAGGAAGGUUGGUAUUGAUUUUGGGAGUUUUGGUCCCAACAUUUUAGGAAUAAGGGGCCAAAAAGGGCCCAAAUAAGCAUUUUCUUGGUUUUCGCACCAUAACUUUAGUUUAAGUUAAUAGAAAUCUAUGAAAUUUUGACACAAGGUUUAUGACCACAAAAGAAAGAUUGGGAUUGAUUUUGGGAGUUUUGGUUUCAAUAGUUUAGGAAUAAGGGGCCAAUAAAGGGCCCAAAUAAGAAUUUUUCUUGGUUUUUGCACAAUAACCUUAGGUUAAGUAAAUAGAAAUCUAUGAAAUUUAAACACAAUGUUUAUGACCACAAAAGGAAGGUUGGUAUUGAUUUUGGGAGUUUAGGACCCAACAGUUUAGGAAUUAGGGGCCAAAAAGGGACCCAAAUAAGCAUUUUUCUUGGUUUUCGCACUAUAAUGUUAGUAUAAGUAAAUACAAAUCUAUGAAAUUUAAACACAAGGCUUAUGACCAUAAAAGGAAGGUUGGUAUUAAUUUUGGGAGUUUUGGUCCCAACAAUUUAGGAAAAAGGGGCCCAAAGGGUCCAAAAUUAAACUUUGUUUGAUUUCAUCAAAAUUGAAUAAUUGGGGUUCUUUGAUAUGCCGAAUCUAACUGUAUAUGUAGAUUCUCAACUUUUGGUCCCGUUUUCAAAUUGGUCUACAUUAAGGUCCAAAGGGUCCAAAAUUAAACUAAGUUUGAUUUUGACAAAAAAAUGAAUCGGUUGGGUUCUUUGAUAUGUUGAAUCUAAAAAUGUACUUAGAUUCUUGAUUUAUUGAAGUUUUUUGGUCCAGUUUUCAAAUUGGUCUACAUUAAGGUCCAAAGGGUCCAAAAUUAAACUUUGUUUGAUUUCAUCAAAAAUUGAAUCCUUGGGGUUCUUUCAUAUGCCAAAUCUAACUGUGUAUGUA
rnacentral:lncRNA from 1 species